rnacentral:rRNA from 1 species
UACGUAGGGACCAAGCGUUGUUCGGAUUUACUGGGCGUAAAGGGCGCGUAGGCGGCGACUCUAGUCAGAUGUGAAAGUCCUGGGCUUAACCUGGGGACUGCAUUUGAUACUGGGGUUGCUUGAAUUCGGGAGAGGAUAGCGGAAUUCCCAGUGUAGAGGUGAAAUUUCGUAGAUAUUGGGAAGACACCGGUGGCGAAGGCGGCUAUCUGGACCGACAUUGACGCUGAGGCGCGAAAACGUGGGGGAGCAAACAGG